GGGAGCGGGAGCGGGAGCGAGGGUGGGGGCCGCGGCGGGCGGCCCGGCGGCCUCCUCGCGCGACCCCCGAGCCCCUCGCCCGGCCCCUCGGCCGGAGACCGCCAGGCUAACCCUAUCAAACCUUGUGUCCUUGCGCUGCAUUCAUUUAAUGACCUCGCCCUUUGUUGCGGCAUGCAGGAUCUAGUUCC